AUUGAACGCUGGCGGCAGGCCUAACACAUGCAAGUCGAGCGGAUGAAGGGAGCUUGCUCCUGGUUUCAGCGGCGGACGGGUGAGUAAUGCCUAGGAAUCUGCCUGGUAGUGGGGGAUAACGUCCGGAAACGGGCGCUAAUACCGCAUACGUCCUGAGGGAGAAAGUGGGGGAUCUUCGGACCUCACGCUAUCAGAUGAGCCUAGGUCGGAUUAGCUAGUUGGUGGGGUAAAGGCCUACUAAGGCGACGAUCCGUAACUGGUCUGAGAGGAUGAUCAGUCACACUGGAAGUGAGACACGGUCCAGACUACUACGGGAGGCAGCAGUGGGGAAUAUGGGACAAUGGGCGAGAGCCUGGUACAGCGAUGCCGCGUGUGUGAAGAAGGUCUUCGGAUUGUAAAGCACGUUUAGUUGGGGGGAAGCGCAGUAAGUUAAUACCUUGCUGUUUUGACGGUACCAGCAGAAGAAGCACCGGCUAACUUCGUG
rnacentral:rRNA from 1 species